rnacentral:rRNA from 1 species
GCUAAACGCGAAGAACCUUACCAAGGCUUGACAUGGAUUUCUAAGCACGUGAAAGCGUGUGACCCUUCGGAGAACUUCCACAGGUGCUGCAUGGCCGUCGUCAGCUCGUGUCGUGAGAUGUUGGGUUAAGUCCCGCAACGAGCGCAACCCUUGUGAUUAGUUGCCAGCGGGUAAUGCCGGGAACUCUAAUCAGACUGCCCAGAUCAACUGGGAGGAAGGUGGGGACGACGUCAGGUCAGUAUGGCCCUUACGCCUUGGGCUGCACACGUACUACAAUGGUCGGUACAGAGGGUUGCCAAACCGCAAGGUGGAGCCAAUCCCAGAAAGCCGAUCCCAGUCCGGAUCGGAGUCUGCAACUCGACUCCGUGAAGUCGGAAUCGCUAGUAAUCGCGGAUCAGCUAUGCCGCGGUGAAUACGUUCCCGGGUCUUGUACACACCG